UACAGAGGGUGCGAGCGUUAAUCGGAAUUACUGGGCGUAAAGGGUGCGUAGGUGGUUAUGUAAGUUAGGUGUGAAAUUCCUGGGCUUAACCUGGGGACUGCGCCUGAUACUGUGUAGCUAGAGUACUGUAGAGGAAAGUGGAAUUUCCGGUGUAGCGGUGAAAUGCGUAGAUAUCGGAAGGAACAUCGGUGGCGAAGGCGACUUUCUGGACAGCUACUGACACUGAGGCACGAAAGCAUGGGGAGCAAACAGG
rnacentral:rRNA from 1 species